GAGAGAGAGAAAGAAUCAGGGAAGAGAAGAAGAACGCGGACGAACGAAGAAGAAUGACGACGACGACGACGACGAACGAAGAACACAAGAACGACUGAAGGAGAACGAAGAACGAAAUCGAUAGUUGACGAAGGGCUGGACAAUCGAUCCAGUAGAAGAAGAACGAACCACAUCACCAAGAAGCCGAAUGGUUGUUCCUUUUUUACAUGGUAUGACCCCCCCUACUUGUGUUAGAGGAAUGGAUUCUGGAAGGCAUAUGUCAAGAAAAUUGGUCAAAUUGCAGGCUGAAAAUGAAGAGCUUUUAAGGAAAAUGAAACAAUGGCGAUGAAUUGAGGAAUUGAUGAACUCAAAUGAGAGUGUGGCCAAAAAAGUUCAGAGAUAUUGAAGAGAAAUGAGGAGUUGGUGAAGUCAUAACAUUGUCUGGAGCCAAAGCGUUGAAGCUCCAGCUUUUGUUGAUUGUUAUGUUAGUUAUGGGCUUUGCCAUUUUUUUUGGGGGUUUCAGGUUUGUGAACAAAGGAAACACAUUGUUCUUGCAAUAAGGUCUUAGUUGUAACAUUUGCAAUUUAUUUAGGCUUGAAAUUGAAUACAGAUUAUGUCAAAGACAGUUGAUUCCAAACAGAAUGAUUUAUAUGCUAUUUCCAUUUUUUGCACAAAUCAUCCAUUCUAUUUGGUACUCUCUCAGGUGCUGCAAUGAACUUUGUUUGCCUAGAUUGAAAGUGCCAUAUC